ACGAGGAGUUAAGAGUUCAUUCGGCUGUCCAGAUGUAUCCAAGUAUCCUCUGUUAUUUGGCAAUAAAUACAUCUGGGCAACUGACUGAACUUUUCGCUUUUCAU
rfam:Macaca mulatta chromosome X, whole genome shotgun sequence.